UUACGGCGAGCGUUGUCCGGAUUUUGGGCGUAAAGAGCUCGUAGGCGGCUUGUCCGUCGGAUGUGAAAGCCCGGGGCUUAACCCCGGGUCUGCAUUCGAUACGGGCUAGCUAGAGUGUGGUAGGGGAGAUCGGAAUUCCUGGUGUAGCGGUGAAAUGCGCAGAUAUCAGGAGGAACACCGGUGGCGAAGGCGGAUCUCUGGGCCAUUACUGACGCUGAGGAGCGAAAGCGUGGGGAGCGAACAGGAUUAGAUACCCUGGUAGUCCACGCCGUAAACGUUGGGAACUAGGUGUUGGCGACAUUCCACGUCGUCGGUGCCGCAGCUAACGCAUUAAGUUCCCCGCCUGGGGAGUACGGCCGCAAGGCUAAAA
rnacentral:rRNA from 1 species